rnacentral:tRNA from 1 species
GACUGCAUAGUUCAAAGGUAGAACAGUCGCCUGCAAAGCGAUAAAUGUGUGUUCGAUUCACACUGCGGUCA